rnacentral:rRNA from 1 species
UGGGGAAUAUUGCACAAUGGGCGCAAGCCUGAUGCAGCCAUGCCGCGUGUAUGAAGAAGGCCUUCGGGUUGUAAAGUACUUUCAGCGAGGAGGAAGGCGUUAAGGUUAAUAACCUUGGCGAUUGACGUUACUCGCAGAAGAAGCACCGGCUAACUCCGUGCCAGCAGCCGCGGUAAUACGGAGGGUGCAAGCGUUAAUCGGAAUUACUGGGCGUAAAGCGCACGCAGGCGGUCUGUCAAGUCGGAUGUGAAAUCCCCGGGCUCAACCUGGGAACUGCAUUCGAAACUGGCAGGCUAGAGUCUUGUAGAGGGGGGUAGAAUUCCAGGUGUAGCGGUGAAAUGCGUAGAGAUCUGGAGGAAUACCGGUGGCGAAGGCGGCCCCCUGGACAAAGACUGACGCUCAGGUGCGAAAGCGUGGGGAGCAAACAGGAUUAGAUAUCCUGGUAGUCCACGCCGUAAACGAUGUCGACUUGGAGGUUGUGCCCUUGAAGCGUGGCUUCCGGAGCUAACGCGUUAAGUCGACCGCCUGGGGAGUACGGCCGCAAGGUUA